UGACGAUAUACUUGUGUGAUCAGUGCUGAAGUUAACACUUCAUGAGCCAAAUUAAAGCGGAAAGGAUGUCCAUUGACCAAUACGUUAUCACCCGGCAGACAUAUGGAAAAUCAACGGAAGAAAGAGUAAUUAGUAAUAGACUCUUUUGGAGGAACCGACCAGAACAGGCCUUUGGUACUGGAGUAUCUUUAAAGAAGGUGGAGGAGGAACAGGGUGGAAUCGUCCUUCAACUCAAUAUCAAGCUUACGCAGUCUGUGAUAUUGCAAAC